CCUACGGGGAGCAGCAGUGGGGAAUAUUUGGCAAUGGGCGCAAGCCUGACCCAGCAAUGCCGCGUGAAUGCAUAAGGCUUUCGGUAUGUAAACUUCUAUCAGCAGGGAAGAAAAUGACGGUACCUGACUAAGAAGCCCCGGCUAACUACGUGCCAGCAGCCGCGGUAAUACGUAGGGGGCAAGCGUUAUCCGGAUUUACUGGGUGUAAAGGGAGCGUAGACGGUAUGGCAAGUCUGAUGGGAAAAUCCGGGGCUCAACCCCGGGACUGCAUUGGAAACUGCCGAACUAGAGUGUCGGAGAGGCAAGUGGAAUUCCUAGUGUAGCGGGGAAAUGCGUAGAGAUUAGGAGGAACACCAGUGGCGAAGGCGGCUUGCUGGACGAUGACUGACGUUGAGGCUCGAAAGCGUGGGGAGCAAACAGGAUUAGAUACCCUUGUAGUC
rnacentral:rRNA from 1 species